GUCCACGCUGUAAACGAUGGGUGCUAGGUGUGGGGGGUAUCGACCCCUCCCGUGCCGAAGCUAACGCAUUAAGCACCCCGCCUGGGGAGUACGGCCGCAAGGUUGAAACUCAAAGGAAUUGACGGGGGCCCGCACAAGCGGUGGAGCAUGUGGUUUAAUUCGACGCAACGCGAAGAACCUUACCUGGGCUUGACAUGUCGGGAGUACCAAACCGAAAGGGGAGGGACUCGUAAAAUCGAGAUCCGACACAGGUGGUGCAUGGCUGUCGU
rnacentral:rRNA from 1 species